ensembl:lncRNA DCTN1-AS1 DCTN1 antisense RNA 1
UUUCACAACUUCAGCAAAAGCCAAAGCAGCCAACAAAGCCACAGCCCUAUCGGCUGUACUGGGCUCUGCCUUUUGGGCAGCUCGCCGGCCACUCCCCAAAAGCAGAGCAUUCCAUCCUUUCUCUUUUUAAACCCACGUCAUCAUCUGAUCAUAAUGGAAAUCAAUCUCCUCAAACCACCAUGCAAAGGCGUAUCCAUGGCAACCUCAAAAGGAAGGACACAGAGAUGAUGCUUCAGUGGCUGCAGCAGGAAAAGCUCUUCGCCUCUCGGUACCUUAAGUAUACCUGAGUAGCCAGUGGUCAACAUGGGUUUGCUGCUCUCCUCACUGCAAUAAAUGACGGAAACCUGUAGCUCAGUAUGGAUUCAGGGGCGCCUCAGACGCUCGCAGGAACGGAGGGGAGACCCUUGCAGUUCUGGAGGAACUCUAAGGCGCAGUCACUCUGAUCCCAGGAGAACAAUGCUAGGCUGAAGAGCUGAGGUGGGUCAGACCGGCCUCGGGGCAAACGCUCAGGCGGAGCCCCCGGACCCCGACAAGCGCCCACCCCUGCCAGUCCCCGCCCCGCACACCGGGCUCGGUCCCCAGCCCACCGCCGGCAACCUCACGAACACGUAGGGGGCCGGCGGAGCAGACGGUUGGCAGAGUCGCGCCUCCGUACCUGCACUGUGAGGGGCUCCGCGCCCAGCUCCGACCCCACCGACGACCGACGCCCAAGACCCUGCGGGGCCGGCCCCGCCCUCCCCGCCCUCGUGGGCUGCCCGACUCGCCG